CUACGGGAUGCUCCAGCUAGGAAUUUUCUGCAAUGCACGCAAGUGUGACAGAGCGAGCCAGAGUGCUUAUCCGUAUUGGAUAAGCUUUUGUGAAGUGUAAAAAGUUUCACGAAUAAGGACCGGGCAAGACUGGUGCCAGCCGCCGCGGUAAUACCAGCGGUCCAAGUCGCAGCCACUUUUAUUGGGUCUAAAACAUCCGUAGCUUGUUUUGUAAGUCUCUUGUGAAAUCUGGCAUCUUAAGUGUCAGGCUUGCAAGAGAUACUGCAAGGCUAGAGACCGGGAGACGUAACGAGUACGAUUAGGGUAGCGGUAAAAUGCGUUGAUCCUUAUUGGACUAACAACAGCGAAGGCACGUUACGAGAACGGAUCUGACAGUGAGGGAUGAAGGCUAGGGGCGCAAAACGGAUUAGAUACCCGCGUAGUC
rnacentral:rRNA from 1 species